AGCAGCCGCGGUAAUACGUAGGUGGCAAGCGUUGUCCGGAUUUAUUGGGCGUAAAGCGAGCGCAGGCGGUUUUUUAAGUCUGAUGUGAAAGCCUUCGGCUCAACCGAAGAAGUGCAUCGGAAACUGGAAAACUUGAGUGCAGAAGAGGACAGUGGAACUCCAUGUGUAGCGGUGAAAUGCGUAGAUAUAUGGAAGAACACCAGUGGCGAAGGCGGCUGUCUGGUCUGUAACUGACGCUGAGGCUCGAAAGUAUGG
rnacentral:rRNA from 1 species